rnacentral:rRNA from 1 species
GAUGAACGCUGGCGGCGUGCCUAAUACAUGCAAGUCGAGCGAACAGAUGAGGAGCUUGCUCCUCUGACGUUAGCGGCGGACGGGUGAGUAACACGUGGAUAACCUACCUAUAAGACUGGGAUAACUUCGGGAAACCGGAGCUAAUACCGGAUAAUAUAUUGAACCGCAUGGUUCAAUAGUGAAAGACGGUUUUGCUGUCACUUAUAGAUGGAUCCGCGCCGCAUUAGCUAGUUGGUAAGGUAACGGCUUACCAAGGCAACGAUGCGUAGCCGACCUGAGAGGGUGAUCGGCCACACUGGAACUGAGACACGGUCCAGACUCCUACGGGAGGCAGCAGUAGGGAAUCUUCCGCAAUGGGCGAAAGCCUGACGGAGCAACGCCGCGUGAGUGAUGAGGGUCUUCGGAUCGUAAAACUCUGUUAUUAGGGAAGAACAAAUGUGUAAGUAACUAUGCACGUCUUGACGGUACCUAAUCAGAAAGCCUCGGCUAACUACGUG